AGCACAGUAGCUCAGUGGUAGAGCUAUCGGCUGUUAACCGAUCGGUCGUAGGUUCGAGUCCUACCUGUGGAGCCA
rnacentral:tRNA from 1 species